rnacentral:lncRNA from 1 species
GUCCUACUCUGUUGCCCAGGCUGGAGUGCAGUAUUGCAAUCAUAUCUCAGUGCAGCUUUGACCUCCCUGGCUCAAGCAAUCCUCCUGCCUCAGCAUCCUAAGUAGCUAGGAAGGUUAGUCUGACUCUCUUCUCAAAAGAAGGAAUGUAUGCUGUGCACCUCAAUCCUGUUUGUGCCACGGUAUUAUCUCAACAAGAAGAAAGGCAGGUUUACAGAGAAACGUGGUAUAUAGUCAUGCGGUAUUGGGAGCUCCUUCGAGAUUUGUGUUUGUGGGAUUCAAAGUGAUUGUGUGAUUUUCUUUCCAACCUUUCUGUUGUUGGGUUUCAGGCAUGGAGAAAGUAGAGAGUUAAGUGUAACCAGUGUUGGGAUCUUGGCCAAAUGAGUCUAACAAGGUUUCAAGAUGGCAAUGAUGUUGAGUGUCUUAGAUUGGAAGAAGAAGAGAUUUUGGAGUAGCAAUGGAAUAAUGACUGGAGACUGCAAGAGAUAACAUUACUUUUAUAGAACCUAAGAUUGGCCUUUUGAGAUGCCUUUUCAGGCUUUUGCAUUUCUGACAACCAGAUGACCCCACCUGGACCUACCAACCAGUCCUAUCAUCCCCACCCAGGAACUGACUCAGCACAAGAGGACAGCUUCAAUUCCCUAUAAUUUCAUCUCUGACCCAAAAAUUCAGCAUGCCUCCUACCUUAGCCCCCUGCCCUCCAAACUAUCUUUGAAAAACCCCUAACCUCCCAGCCUUCAGAAAGAUUGAUUUGAGUAAUAACUCUGUCUCCUGUGUGGCAUGGCUGGGCUCGCAUCAAUUAAACUCUUUCUUUACUGCAAUGCCAUGGUCUUGGUGAGUUGAUUUUGUUUGUGCAGUGGACAGAAAGAACCUAUUGGA